GAUGAACGCUUUCUUCCUUCUUAACACAUUCAAGUCGAGCGGGAAGACGUGGUUCUUGCUGCUGUCACGUUAGCGACGGAUGGGUAAGUAACCCGUGGAUGACCAACAUAGAAGGAUAGGACAACUUAGGCAAACCGGAGCGAAGACCGGAUAAUAGAUUGAACCCGAGGGUUCAAUAGUGAAUGACGGUUUUGCUGUUACUGAUAGAGGUUACCGAGGCGAUUAAGCUAAGUGGUAAGGUAACGACGUACCAAGGCGACGAUGCGUAGCCGACCUGAGAGGGUGACAGGCCACACUGGAACUGAGACACGGUCCAGACUCCUACGGGAGGCAGCAGUAGGGAAUCUUGCGCAAUGGGCGAAAGCCUGACGCAGCAACGCCGCGUGAGUGAUGAAGGUCUUCGGAUCGUAAAAAAAUGGUAUUAGGGAAGAACAAAUGUGUAACUAACUAAAGACGUCAUGACGGUACCUGAUGAAUAAGCAAAGGCUAAAUACGGG
rnacentral:rRNA from 1 species